AUCCCUGUAGCGCAAUGGGUGACGCAUUGGACUUCUAAUCAAAAGUUAUGGGUUCGAGUCCCGCUAGGGAUG